rnacentral:lncRNA from 1 species
GUCGGACUAGGCUGCGCCGGGGAGUAAACAAGUGGCGGCCAGGGGCGGGCCGGGGGCGUGGGGCUCCGGGCCCCGCCGAGUCUGCUGCGGCUCCGGAUGCGCGGGGUGGCAGUGGCCGGGAGGACGCGGGGCGGCGGGCAGGGCCUCCCAAGCCCGGCUGUCCUCGGCCCGUGCGCGGCGCCCGGAGUCCCACUCCUCCCGAUGCUGUCCCCCGCGCCCGGAGGCCGAGCCAAUUCUCUGGGAAGUUCCCGGCUUGGGAGCGGAGCGGCCGGUCGGAAGAACCUCGGGUGCUGGCGCGCCUGAAGUUGCAGACCAGACUGAAAUGUGCGAGACAUGUGCCUUUUUCUUAGGAAAGGCCCCAGGUACCAGAAAGGUUUUCAGCGCGCCGACCUACGGGGCUAAGAGGGCUGAAAUAAGAACCAGUGACUGAGCGCCGGGAGGUUUAAGGUUUAUGGAAGAUGUUCAUCGCGCCGUACCCUACUAGAGGUUUGGGGACGUGGGACACAGCCCCUGCGUUCCCGCCGCGGACCCCGUGAUAAAUACACAGACACACAAAAUCACUACCGCCUUGAAUCUGGACAGCUACCUCAGGUGGUUAAUAUCUAACAGGAGCAGAGUGGAGCUCAGAAAGACUCAGCGUGGGUGCUGGGUUCCGGCGCGACCAGCCUGAUACCUAGGUCAGCAUCUCAGCCACACAAGCAGGCGGCAGUUCUGUCAGGAAUUACUACAUCUGGUGAUUCCACUUCUCAUAGCUCACCGCUGGGAGAAUAAUUCCUCAGGAUUAACAAGAUCUAUUCCAGAGGAUCCUCACUGCUGAAGCGAUUUUAGAAGACAGUGUGGUCUGUUGACAGUAUGGAAUAUUCUUUACCCAUCAGAUAUGAUCUGUAUGUGAUUGGAAGGAAAUAAACCAACUGCUAACAACACUUCUCUAUAGAUGUUCAGAUUCAGUAAUUUUUGUAUUUUUCUCUACACUUUUGUUUUUUCAAAUUUCCUAGCACAAGAAGACUUUGACUUACUGCACAUGUCAUUUUAAAUGACCUUUAUAAAGACUCUAUAGAAACAAUUUGCUAUGUCAUGAAAGUAACAAUCAAAAAAAGUAUGCACAUUGUGGCCACAAAGUAAAACUUGUGUGGAAGGCUUCCUUGGAAAACAACCUAUAACUAACUUUCUGGGAGUAAAGCUUCAGGUGGAAGAACAAUUGGAUCAAACUUGGAAAACAUGCCCCCAGUUUGUCUACUCCAUUGAACUUUGCAUGCUUGGAGCCCCUGGCCUCAGCACACUCAAUCGCACAAGCCAGCCUGCAGCACCUGUACAGCACCAUGGGAGUCCCCUGCAGAGCUGCAACUUUGAGAGUGGGUAUAGUGACGUAACUCAGGUUCUUCAAGGGAUGAACACUCCAACUUUGAAACCACUAGCCUGUAGGUGUGGACGAAAAGGCAGCUGCAUGUUAUAAAACAAUAUUACUCAUACUUUUGGAUCAAGCUUCUUUCAGUCCCAUGGGUAGGGAGGAGGGGCAAUUUGCUGAAGCCCACUGCCCUUCCAGUACUCACAAGCCAAGGGCCCUAUGGGAUCUGUUUCACAGGACUCAUGCUUAUGGCAGCUGAGCACAUCUGUCCUGUAUGUCUGCCAGCAGCCACGUCCCUCUCACUCCUGUGACGACAGCCUUGACUAUAUUUAGAAAUUCCAUUUCUGAUUGCAUUUCACUGCUGAAUGGUCCUAGAAUCCUUUAUUGCCCUUGUCCCAUCACAAGAGACAGCCAGCCACAGCCACUUUUAUCUCAACAACAUACUGAAUACUGACAGAACAAACAGGCAAGUUGUAGAUUCACCAGGAUUUAUACAUAUUUGAUUUUUUAUUACCAAUCAAAAAUAAAUUCCAUAUAU